UGCAGCGACGCCGCGUGGGGGAUGACGGUCUUCGGAUUGUAAACCCCUUUCAGUAGGGACGAAGCGCAAGUGACGGUACCUGCAGAAGAAGCACCGGCUAACUACGUGCCAGCAGCCGCGGUAAUACGUAGGGUGCGAGCGUUGUCCGGAAUUACUGGGCGUAAAGAGCUCGUAGGCGGUUUGUCACGUCGUCUGUGAAAUCCCUCGGCUUAACCGGGGGCGUGCAGGCGAUACGGGCAGACUUGAGUACUACAGGGGAGACUGGAAUUCCUGGUGUAGCGGUGAAAUGCGCAGAUAUCAGGAGGAACACCGGUGGCGAAGGCGGGUCUCUGGGUAGUAACUGACGCUGAGGAGCGAAAGCAUGGGUAGCGAACAGGAUUAGAUACCCUGGUAGUCCAUGCCGUAAACGGUGGGCGCUAGGUGUGGGGUCCUUCCACGGACUCCGUGCCGUAGCUAACGCAUUAAGCGCCCCGCCUGGGGAGUACGGCCGCAAGGCUAAAACUCAA
rnacentral:rRNA from 1 species